GACCUCGUAGCUCAGUUGGUGUAGAGCAUUGGACUAGUAUCCCAAAGGUAGCGGGUUCGAUUCCUGCCGUGGUUA